GCUGGGUGUGGUGGUGUGCGCCUGUAAUCCCAGCUACUCUGGAGGCUGAGGCAGGAGACUCGCUUGAACCCGGGAGGUGGAGGUUGCGGUGAGCCGAGAUCGGGCCACUGCACUCCAGCCUGGGCAACAGAGCGAGACUCCGUCUCAA
rnacentral:sRNA from 1 species